ACAUUGCCGUCGCUUCGAUGUUCCAUAUGAACUCCAAGUGCAAUACAAUCGUAGCCGCUCGCCGUGCGCUGCAUGGGCGAAUGUGAGCCUGCGAUCGCGGUUCAAUCUCGUGCACGCAAGGGAGGGGAACGGGCAGGAAGCGCACCGCCUUCCGUCGCGCGCUAGGCUCCAGGGAAGGGCAGUGAGGGUAGGAGGCGCGCCUGCUACGAGGCGCAGUUUCUUAAAGCCGUCUGGGAUGGGCACAUAGUCCGCCGCUCGCUGUAUUUUUACGUCUCAGACCGUGUUGAUGUGAGCGACAGCACGAAGGUAUUGACAAAAACAAAUUACAACUUAAAAAUGUAUUUGUGCUAGUUUUUAAUACGAAUGAUGAUCGUGCGUUAUUAGCAAUUUCCAGCAGUAAACUUUAGUGCACCUCAAUCGUCUACUUUUUGAUAUUGAGAGAAAGUCGUUGCAUAAACCCGUGACAUAUAUUCAUGUUAGAACUAUCUCGAGAAACUGCGAUAAGCUAUGCGUAGUUAGAGCACGUCUUGAUGUUAUGUGGAUAAAUUCGAAACUGCUAAUACUGCAUAGCAGCAAAAUAUGAUCGAGCUAGUUGACUUUACAAGACCGCAGCCCACGCGUAAGUCAGACAGCUUCUGCAUUUCUUGCACCGUUCUUCGUCGUUCACCUCCAUUCGUGUGCUGCAGCCUUCAAGUCAGGGGAGGUGGGUUGCCUCGGCUAAUAAUGUGUGCCAUCGUGUGAGGGAUUUCACACCAUGUGUUCUUCCGCAUUAGGGUGUCUUCUGCAGCUUUUCGAGUCUAAGGACAAGCGUUUUGGUCACACCUACUCUAACGAGCGCCUUGCAUGGCACUCUUUGGCCAUACCUGGCCCUUGCGCCAUUAAACCUCAAACAUCAUCAUCAUCAUCAUCUAAAGACAAGGAAGUGUUCGUGAAUUGAUUGUAAUGGGAGCGACACCUUGUUAAAUAUUUUACACCAUUUAGUGUUUUGGUUUUCGCGCUCCCUAUGGAGUACCAGUGACUUUGCGGCGUACAAGCCGAUACAUGUAUAACGCUCAUCUGCUCCAAUGCUAUUAGGCGCUCACAGUAAGCUGGGAACCAAUAGAAAUGAAUAUAGGCAGUGGGCGUGGGCUCAAUUAUCAGUUAUGCAGUCUACUUGUUGUCACCUCUUCCGCGGUCUGCAGUUGCGACCUAUAGAGCAGACCGACCCUUGCAAUAAUCAUCUAGAAUGAGGCGCAUCAAACCCAUCCCUUUCCUAUAUUGAAAAUCCGCAAUGCCAGCUGCCGACCUUUUGUACUCUGAAUCCCUAAGCCUAGUCCCUACUGGCCGAAGUGCAAUUCAACCUGCACCAGAUCAUCUGGAAGACGGCCCGGUACUACAAAGGGGACUCGUAACUAUCACCGGAGGUGCUCAACGAGCUCAACGUAUUCGCCCAGCGUUUGGGCGUAAACCAGUAUGGUGCCUCAAGGAAAACAUUGUAAUGCGCAUAUCAUGACUGCGCACCUGCCCAGGUCUGCAGCGCCUUUGACGAGUGGUGAGUUUGGUGACAAAAUUUCUUCGCAGGUGUUCCAUCGAAUACGACAGUUCUUUGCCCAAGGGGGCAUCGGAACUUCUCCCGGCGUUCUAAUAAGGCAGUGAUCAUAAAGUCCGAAGAAGAACUGGAAGAGGCUGCUACGCUAGAAGGAAGGAGCAUGGACGCUGAUGCAGCAAAAAAUGGAUUCACUGAACUUCGAGUGGUAAAAAGUAGUGCCGAGAUUCUCAUCAGAACACCAGGACCGAAUGAGAUCAGCAAAGGUGCCGAGGACUUCGAAAAGGCGUCCAAGCUGGCGAAAAGAGCCUUGAUGAAUUCAUUAAGGAAAGCUUAAAAGCGUGGGCGAAAAUGUGGCAGCAUAUCGAGGCCUCCAGGAAGAGAAUCCGUGACCUGGGCCUCAGUGCGAAAAGUGGCAUGACAUACGAUGUCGCACGUUUCUUCGAUGACGUCAAAAUGAAGGCCACGUACUGGUCGAGCUGUGCAUGGCAUCUCAUCUUGGGAUUGCCUGCUUCUAUCAUGGCACUGACUCUCGCUGUGCAAUUCGUACGGGCUGCAGUUCAGCCACGACAUUCCAGGAAAGACUAGGCCACAGAAGGGAAUGCAUUAAGGAAAGCGUAAAAGCGUGGGCAAAAAUGUGGCAGGAUAUCAAAGCCACCAGGAAGAGAAUCUGUAACAUGGGCCUCAGGGCGAAAAGUGGCAUGACAUACGAUGUCGCACGUUUCUUCGAUGACGUCAAAAUAAAGGCCAGUUACUGGUCGAGCUGUUCGUUGUACCUGAUCAUGGUAUUACCUGCAUCUGUCGUGGCACUGACUCUCGCUCUGCAGUUCGCACGGGCUGCAGUUCAGCCAUGACAUUCCAGGAAAGACUCGGCCACAGAAGGGAAUUCAUUAAGGAAAGCCUAAAAGCGUGGGCGAAAAUGUGGCAGGAUAUCAAAGCCACCAGGAAGUGAAUCUAUAACCUGGGCCUCAGGGCGAAAAGUGGCAUGACAUACGAUGUCGCACGUUUCUUCGAUGACGUCAAAAUAAAGGUUCAGACUUCGCCUCUGGAAUGCCAAUGUCAUUGUCAAGGAAAUCAACCUUACUCUCAAGGACGGCGAUGUUGGCGUAGAUUAUCAGACUUUUAAAAGAAAAGAAGAAUAUGAUGACGAGAUCAUACUUGAUACGAAAGUAGAUCUCAACGUUAAUCAUAAAGUCCACCUCAAGAAAGGAGAGUACAUUGUCGCGUCCGUAUCGUGCAAGAUGUCAGAGAAAACUACGUGUGUAAACUACAGAGAGUGCACCUCGAUUGGGACGUUACAGUUCGAGUUCAAUGGCGUUGAAUUGGUAACAUAUCCUAUGGAGCUCAAGUACCUGAAUGUGCUUUUCAGAGCAUUGAAAAUUUAUGGCCUUAAAGAUCGCACAUCAGCAAGAGAGGUGCACCAGGAGUACAGUAAUGUCUCGGAGUCAUUUGCGCUAUUCACUAUGCAAAAAAUGUAUGAUGUGGCCGCCCUGCAAUUUCGUUCAUUUGAUAACUACUUGUGGGCUGGAGAUUGGGCAGUCGUGACGGGGAAAUACAAAUACAUGAAUGCAGACUUCGAAGGCAUUGGCGUUGGUGUCACAAUAAACGGUAUAGUUCCGUAUGACAUGAAAGACUUUGUCGUUUACAAGGAUUACCCCGAGGCGGUCACGUUUACUAUUUCCGUCGGCGUGAACGCCAGUAUGGUCAGCACCGAGGAUGACGUAUAUAUUUGCAAAACAAUAAUUGCGCGUGCAAGGGGCCUAAUUGUCACCGUCCAUAACAUAAACGUCGAUAACUUAGAAACGCACGUAAAAAGCUGGCCAAAUUACCAUAUCUGAAUCUAGAGACACAGAAAUUUUGGGUACAUUACUGGAUCUGGAAGUUUCCGGAUGUUCAACCAAUAGCAUCUUUCUAGAUUGGCUAAAACAUUUGACAAAGUCACUCUACCGGUGCUAGUUUACAACUUAAGCUUCAUAAAGAUCGAUCCUAAUGAACUCAGUCCGACUAGUGUCUUCCUUGUUACCCGUACUCAGUUUGGGACCUCUAAUGGCUGUGACUCUCCUGGAACACUUACGCCUCAUACGUGUCUCGCAAUGUUUAGUUCUAGGUAAUCUAAAAUGUCCAAAAUAAAUGAGUGAUCUUCCAAUUAAUAUA